rnacentral:rRNA from 1 species
UACGUAGGGUGCGAGCGUUGUCCGGAAUUAUUGGGCGUAAAGAGCUCGUAGGCGGUCUGUCGCGUCUGCUGUGAAAUCCCGAGGCUUAACCUCGGGCCUGCAGUGGGUACGGGCAGACUAGAGUGUGGUAGGGGAGACUGGAAUUCCUGGUGUAGCGGUGAAAUGCGCAGAUAUCAGGAGGAACACCGGUGGCGAAGGCGGGUCUCUGGGCAGUAACUGACGCUGAGGAGCGAAAGCUAGGGGAGCAAACGGG